UACGUAGGGUGCAAGCGUUAAUCGGAAUUACUGGGCGUAAAGCGUGCGCAGGCGGCUAUGCAAGACAGAUGUGAAAUCCCCGGGCUCAACCUGGGAACUGCAUUUGUGACUGCAUGGCUAGAGUACGGUAGAGGGGGAUGGAAUUCCGCGUGUAGCAGUGAAAUGCGUAGAUAUGCGGAGGAACACCGAUGGCGAAGGCAAUCCCCUGGACGAUUCCUGACACUGAGGCACGAAAGCCAGGGGAGCAAACGGG
rnacentral:rRNA from 1 species